CCCUGUCAACUGCUGGUCUCUGGCCUCCCAUAAGGGACAGUAACCCUCAGUACACCCUGUCAACUGCUGGUCUCUGGCCUCCCAUAAGGAACAAUAUACCCUCAGUACACCCUGUCAACUGCUGGUCUCUGGCCUCCCAUAAGGAACAAUAUACCCUCAGUACACCCUGUCAACUGCUGGUCUCUGGCCUCCCAUAAGGAACAAUAUACCCUCAGUACACCCUGUCAACUGCUGGUCUCUGGCCUCCCAUAAGGAACAAUAUACCCUCAGUACACCCUGUCAACUGCUGGUCUCUGGCCUCCCAUAAGGAACAAUAUACCCUCAGUACACCCUGUCAACUGCUGGUCUCUGGCCUCCCAUAAGGAACAAUAUACCCUCAGUACACCCUGUCAACUGCUGGUCUCUGGCCUCCCAUAAGGAACAAUAUACCCUCAGUACACCCUGUCAACUGCUGGUCUCUGGCCUCCCAUAAGGAACAAUAUACCCUCAGUACACCCUGUCAACUGCUGGUCUCUGGCCUCCCAUAAGGAACAAUAUACCCUCAGUACACCCUGUCAACUGCUGGUCUCUGGCCUCCCAUAAGGAACAAUAUACCCUCAGUACACCCUGUCAACUGCUGGUCUCUGGCCUCCCAUAAGGAACAAUAUACCCUCAGUACACCCUGUCAACUGCUGGUCUCUGGCCUCCCAUAAGGGACAGUAACCCUCAGUACACCCUGUCAACUGCUGGUCUCUGGCCUCCCAUAAGGAACAAUAUACCCUCAGUACACCCUGUCAACUGCUGGUCUCUGGCCUCCCAUAAGGAACAAUAUACCCUCAGUACACCCUGUCAACUGCUGGUCUCUGGCCUCCCAUAAGGGACAGUAACCCUCAGUUAACUGCUACUACCAGCAACU